rnacentral:rRNA from 1 species
GACGAACGCUGGCGGCGUGCUUAACACAUGCAAGUCGAGCGGUAAGGCCCUUUCGGGGUACGACGAGCGGCGAACGGGUGAGUAACACGUGGGUGACCUGCCCUCCAGCUCUGGGAGUAAGCCUGGGAAACGUAGGGUCGUAAUACUGGAUAUGACUCCACGGUGCAUGUCGGUGGGGUGGAAAGCCUUGUGCGGCUGAGGAUGGGCCCGCGGCCUAUCAGCUUGUUGGUGGGGUGANGGCCUACCAAGGCGACGACGGGUAGCCGGCCUGAGAGGGCGACCGGCCACACUGGGACUGAGACACGGCCCAGACUCCUACGGGAGGCAGCAGUGGGGAAUAUUGCGCAAUGGGCGAAAGCCUGACGCAGCG